rnacentral:snoRNA from 2 species
UCGAUGAUGAUUAUUGCAAAAAUAUGGAAUUACCGUCUGAGUUACUUUGAUGUGAAAAACGCUGGCUUUACUGAGA